AAGUCGAGCGGACAGAUGGGAGCUUGCUCCCUGAUGUUAGCGGCGGACGGGUGAGUAACACGUGGGUAACCUGCCCUGUAAGACUGGGAUAACUCCGGGAAACCGGGGCUAAUACCGGAUGCUUGUUUGAACCGCAUGGUUCAAACAUAAAAGGUGGCUUCGGGCUACCACUUACAGAUGGACCCGCGGCGCAUUAGCUAGUUGGUGAGGUAAUGGCUCACCAAGGCGACGAUGCGUAGCCGACCUGAGAAGGGUGAUCGGCCACACUGGGACUGAGACACGGCCCAGACUCCUACGGGAGGCAGCAGUAGGGAAUCUUCCGCAAUGGACGAAAGUCUGACGGAGCAACGCCGCGUGAGUGAUGAAGGUUUUCGGAUCGUAAAGCUCUGUUGUUAGGGAAGAACAAGUACCGUUCGAAUAGGGCGGUACCUUGACGGUACCUAACCAGAAAGCCACGGCUAACUACGUGCCAGCAGCCGCGGUAAUACGUAGGUGGCAAGCGUUGUCCGGAAUUAUUGGGCGUAAAGGGCUCGCAGGCGGUUUCUUAAGUCUGAUGUGAAAGCCCCCGGCUCAACCGGGGAGGGUCAUUGGAAACUGGGGAACUUGAGUGCAGAAGAGGAGAGUGGAAUUCCACGUGUAGCGGUGAAAUGCGUAGAGAUGUGGAGGAACACCAGUGGCGAAGGCGACUCUCUGGUCUGUAACUGACGCUGAGGAGCGAAAGCGUGGGGAGCGAACAGGAUUAGAUACCCUGGUAGUCCACGCCGUAAACGAUGAGUGCUAAGUGUUAGGGGGUUUCCGCCCCUUAGUGCUGCAGCUAACGCAUUAAGCACUCCGCCUGGGGAGUACGGUCGCAAGACUGAAACUCAAAGGAAUUGACGGGGGCCCGCACAAGCGGUGGAGCAUGUGGUUUAAUUCGAAGCAACGCGAAGAACCUUACCAGGUCUUGACAUCCUCUGACAAUCCUAGAGAUAGGACGUCCCCUUCGGGGGCAGAGUGACAGGUGGUGCAUGGUUGUCGUCAGCUCGUGUCGUGAGAUGUUGGGUUAAGUCCCGCAACGAGCGCAACCCUUGAUCUUAGUUGCCAGCAUUCAGUUGGGCACUCUAA
rnacentral:rRNA from 1 species